rnacentral:rRNA from 1 species
AGAGUUUGAUCCUGGCUCAGGAUGAACGCUAGCUACAGGCUUAACACAUGCAAGUCGAGGGGCAGCAUGGUCUUAGCUUGCUAAGGCCGAUGGCGACCGGCGCGCGGGUGAGUAACACGUAUCCAACCUGCCGUCUACUCUUGGACAGCCUUCUGAAAGGAAGAUUAAUACAAGAUGGCAUCAUGAGUCCACAUGUUCACAUGAUUAAAGGUAUUCCGGUAGACGAUGGGGAUGCGUUCCAUUAGAUAGUAGGCGGGGUAACGGCCCACCUAGUCUUCGAUGGAUAGGGGUUCUGAGAGGAAGGUCCCCCACAUUGGAACUGAGACACGGUCCAAACUCCUACGGGAGGCAGCAGUGAGGAAUAUUGGUCAAUGGGCGAGAGCCUGAACCAGCCAAGUAGCGUGAAGGAUGACUGCCCUAUGGGUUGUAAACUUCUUUUAUAAAGGAAUAAAGUCGGGUAUGCAUACCCGUUUGCAUGUACUUUAUGAAUAAGGAUCGGCUAACUCCGUGCCAGCAGCCGCGGUAAUACGGAGGAUCCGAGCGUUAUCCGGAUUUAUUGGGUUUAAAGGGAGCGUAGAUGGAUGUUUAAGUCAGUUGUGAAAGUUUGCGGCUCAACCGUAAAAUUGCAGUUGAUACUGGAUAUCUUGAGUGCAGUUGAGGCAGGCGGAAUUCGUGGUGUAGCGGUGAAAUGCUUAGAUAUCACGAAGAACUCCGAUUGCGAAGGCAGCCUGCUAAGCUGCAACUGACAUUGAGGCUCGAAAGUGUGGGUAUCAAACAGGAUUAGAUACCCUGGUAGUCCACACGGUAAACGAUGAAUACUCGCUGUUUGCGAUAUACAGCAAGCGGCCAAGCGAAAGCGUUAAGUAUUCCACCUGGGGAGUACGCCGGCAACGGUGAAACUCAAAGGAAUUGACGGGGGCCCGCACAAGCGGAGGAACAUGUGGUUUAAUUCGAUGAUACGCGAGGAACCUUACCCGGGCUUAAAUUGCAGAUGAAUUACGGUGAAAGCCGUAAGCCGCAAGGCAUCUGUGAAGGUGCUGCAUGGCUGUCGUCAGCUCGUGCCGUGAGGUGUCGGCUUAAGUGCCAUAACGAGCGCAACCCUUGUUGUCAGCUACUAACAGGUUCUGCUGAGGACUCUGACAAGACUGCCAUCGUAAGAUGUGAGGAAGGUGGGGAUGACGUUAAAUCAGCACGGCCCUUACGUCCGGGGCUACACACGUGUUACAAUGGGGGGUACAGAGGGCCGCUACCACGCGAGUGGAUGCCAAUCCCCAAAACCUCUCUCAGUUCGGACUGGAGUCUGCAACCCGACUCCACGAAGCUGGAUUCGCUAGUAAUCGCGCAUCAGCCACGGCGCGGUGAAUACGUUCCCGGGCCUUGUACACACCGCCCGUCAAGCCAUGGGAGCCGGGGGUACCUGAAGUGCGUAACCGCGAGGAGCGCCCUAGGGUAAAACUGGUGACUGGGGCUAAGUCGUAACAAGGUA